rnacentral:misc_RNA from 1 species
CAUUCUACGCCUGUGCUGUGCUGUGCUGUGCUCUGAUUCUCAUAUCUCCACGUACAGUACUUUUCAUCACUUCACUUGUCAACAGCGACUUGUCAACAGUUACUUGUCAACAGUGAAGCGUGGCUAUCAGAUUUGACGUUCCUCCAAUUAAUUUGGUUCUUUCUUUUGUGAGAUCUGAUUCACCAUGCGUCUUCUCUGUAUUCACCGAUUAUGUCUAUCAAUAAUUUUAAUCCAUCCUGUAGCAAUCUACAAUAUACUUUAUUGCUUAGACCUGAAAAAGGCUCUCUCUCCCUUUCUCUCGUUUUCUACGGAGAGAUUUUAUUUUAUUUUAUUUUAUUUUUCUUUUUAAUCGCGGGACCAAAUUCCCAUUUCUUGCUACCAUGUCGGCUUCCUCUUGCACCUCCUAUCUUAGGCAGGGAAGGCUUCUUCCCCAGCUCAAGGUGUGUGUUAAUCCUUCCCCACCCUUACAGUCGUCACUGCAGUAGGGGGCGUUAAGUUGUUGUGAUGCAUCUCAGAGGUUUCAUAGCCGGCAUGAUUGAUGGCUGGCACUGAUGCGGUU